rnacentral:rRNA from 1 species
AGAGUUUGAUCCUGGCUCAGGACGAACGCUGGCGGCGUGCCUAAUACAUGCAAGUAGAACGCUGAAGAGAGGAGCUUGCUCUUCUUGGAUGAGUUGCGAACGGGUGAGUAACGCGUAGGUAACCUGCCUUGUAGCGGGGGAUAACUAUUGGAAACGAUAGCUAAUACCGCAUAACAAUGGGUGACACAUGUCAUUUAUUUGAAAGGGGCAAUUGCUCCACUACAAGAUGGACCUGCGUUGUAUUAGCUAGUAGGUGAGGUAACGGCUCACCUAGGCGACGAUACAUAGCCGACCUGAGAGGGUGAUCGGCCACACUGGGACUGAGACACGGCCCAGACUCCUACGGGAGGCAGCAGUAGGGAAUCUUCGGCAAUGGGGGCAACCCUGACCGAGCAACGCCGCGUGAGUGAAGAAGGUUUUCGGAUCGUAAAGCUCUGUUGUAAGUCAAGAACGAGUGUGAGAGUGGAAAGUUCACACUGUGACGGUAGCUUACCAGAAAGGGACGGCUAACUACGUGCCAGCAGCCGCGGUAAUACGUAGGUCCCGAGCGUUGUCCGGAUUUAUUGGGCGUAAAGCGAGCGCAGGCGGUUUGAUAAGUCUGAAGUUAAAGGCUGUGGCUCAACCAUAGUUCGCUUUGGAAACUGUCAAACUUGAGUGCAGAAGGGGAGAGUGGAAUUCCAUGUGUAGCGGUGAAAUGCGUAGAUAUAUGGAGGAACACCGGUGGCGAAAGCGGCUCUCUGGUCUGUAACUGACGCUGAGGCUCGAAAGCGUGGGGAGCGAACAGGAUUAGAUACCCUGGUAGUCCACGCCGUAAACGAUGAGUGCUAGGUGUUGGAUCCUUUCCGGGAUUCAGUGCCGCAGCUAACGCAUUAAGCACUCCGCCUGGGGAGUACGACCGCAAGGUUGAAACUCAAAGGAAUUGACGGGGGCCCGCACAAGCGGUGGAGCAUGUGGUUUAAUUCGAAGCAACGCGAAGAACCUUA